GACACAGUCUUCCCCAUGAUGGGCUGGAGCUCCAGAGCAAACCCCAGGCCAGCCCUUGCACCAAAGCCUUUAGAAGGCUUACCAAUGUGUUAGGAAUGUUUCAGAAAGAAAGACAGUGCAGGCCCCUGGGAACCGUGUGUCCUUAGAGGCAAACAAGUGGCAAG